GACGUAGGGCGCGAGCGUUGUCCGGAUUUAUUGGGCGUAAAGAGCUCGUAGGCGGCUUGUUGCGUCGACUGUGAAAACCUGCGGCUCAACCGUGUGGCUGCAGUUGAUACGGGCAGGCUAGAGUUCGGUAGGGGAGACUGGAAUUCCUGGUGUAGCGGUGAAAUGCGCAGAUAUCAGGAGGAACACCGGUGGCGAAGGCGGGUCUCUGGGCCG
rnacentral:rRNA from 1 species